rnacentral:lncRNA from 1 species
AGAACACAAGAAAAGAAUCGGGCGGGGAAUACAUAGUGGGACAAAACCUUUCAUAGAAAAUCUGAUAAAAUAUAAAAAAAAAAAAUAGCCAUCAACUAGCAAUAACUAAUGGUUGUGACCUUAAAACCUAUGCUGCUUCUUCUACCUCUAGCACGCUCAAAUUUCUUACCCUUGGCUCGCACAUUCGGCUUGGUGUGGCUCUGUGGAACACUAGGAGUUGGACCAAAGUGCUUCGCUGCCUCACGAGACUUCUCGGGUCCUCUAAGAAGUACCUGCAUCAAAAUAGCAUAGUUAGCUAUUUUGGGUUUCAUAACAACACAAGGUUUUUGUAGCACAAACAGAAAAGGCAAAAUUUACCAGCAGAAUCAUAGUUAUAAGCAAGACCAAAAUAGUUGAACAUUGAGCACAAAAAAAUAAAAAAAAUAAAAAAAAAUUCUUUGACAAAGCAAUUUUUGUGAGUAACAGAAUCCAUAUCAAACCUUAAAUAUUAGUUCAAAGGAAACAAUGAAUCAAACUAUCAAAGUAGUGAACACAACAAUCAUUGCAUAAUUGAAAUCACUGACAAAAUAAUAUUCAUGUUAUUGGUUAAAAAUCUCAUUUCCACCGUUCUAUACUACCAACUAUGUCAAACUCUAGAAACAAUAAAAUUAUCAAGAAAAAGAAAUUAACGAAAAAAGAUUGGAAUAUUCACUACCAUGUUUUUGCCCAAGGGGAGCUCUGAGCUAGCUGAUCAAAAGUUAAGCAUUCUCCUCCUGCCUUCUCAAUUCUUGCCCUUGCUUUCUCUGUGAAUCUCAAAGCCGUGACCUUCACUGUGAGGACUUCAUAAGCUCGAAUAUCAUCAGUGACACAGUCCCAACAAGCACUGCAUUUUUGUCUUCCUUUCCCUUCACGAAGUGAUGAGACAAGAGAGAAAGCAGGGCCUUGUUAACCUUGCUCAUGAACAGUCUCUUCAAUAUAACUGCAUUGAACUUGCUUCCAGUUCUCCUCACGAGGAAUCGACACAGCUUGACGAGAAGUUGGAGGUAAAUAUCAUUGGAUUUAGGAGUAGUGCGCUUGGUUUUCUUGCUUUCACCUCCGACGACCAAAUCAAUACCCGUGGCUACUGUUGGUGGUGGUGGUGCUUUCCGUCGCGCCUUCGGUGAUAAAUUUCAACAAAAAUGUCUGCAAUAGAGGCUUGUUUCUCAAGGUUUUUUGAUUGCAGGGGUUUUAGAUUUGGGUGUUUUUUUUCGUGAGUCUUGAACGUAAUUAAUACGGUAAUAAUAGUUUUAAAUUAGUUUUAAGGUAUUAAUCAAAUAUUUAAAAUUUUUAGGG